UGCGUAGGCGGGUCUUUAAGUCAGGGGUGAAAUCCUGGAGCUCAACUCCAGAACUGCCUUUGAUACUGAGGAUCUUGAGUCCGGGAGAGGUGAGUGGAACUGAGAGUGUAGAGGUGAAAUUCGUAGAUAUUCGCAAGAACACCAGUGGCGAAGGCGGCUCACUGGCCCGGUACUGACGCUGAGGCACGAAAGCUGGGGAGCAAACA
rnacentral:rRNA from 1 species